UAGAGUUAAACACAGGGACACAUUUGAAGUCUCGGAGCCGGGUGUUGGUUCCGGUAGUGAUCGAGGGAAAUUAGUACCGAAGUCCGGGAUGGAAGAUGGCGAGAAAAGCUGUGUGUAUUUCUGCGGUGCCCGUACCGCAAACCGACACAGGUAGGUAGGAAGAAGAUUCUAAGGCCAACGGGAGAAGGGUUGUUAAGGAACUCGGCAAAUUGACCCCGUAACUUCGGGAGAAGGGGUGCUCCAGAGAUGGAGCCGCAGAGAAUCGGCCCAAGCAACUGUUUACCAAAAACACAGGUUUGUGCUAAAUCGAAAGAUGACGUAUACGAGCUGACGCCUGCCCGGUGCUGGAAGGUUAAGAGGAGAUGUGCAAGCAUUGAAUCGAAGCCCCAGUGAACGGCGGCCGUAACAAUAACGGCCCUAAGGUAGCGAAAUUCCUUGUCAGGUAAGUUCUGACCCGCAUGAAAGGCGUAAUGAUUUGGGCACUGUCUCGACAGCCCGCCCGGCGAAAUUGUAGUACCGGUGAAGAUGCCGGUUACCCGCGACAAGACGGAAAGACCCCAUGGAGCUUUACUGUAGCCUAAUAUUGGGUUUCGAUGUUGCAUGCACAGGAUAGAUGGGACACUAGGAAGCAAGUGCUUUGGCAUUUGUGGAGUGGCCGUUGGGAUACCAUCCUUGCGAUAUUGGAAUUCUAACCUGCGCCUUUGAAUCAAGGCGGGGGACAUUGUUAGGUGGGCAGUUUGACUGGGGCGGUCGCCUCCUAAAGAGUAACGGAGGCGUUCAAAGGUUCGCUCAGCUUGAACGGAAAUCAAGCAAAAGAGUGCAAACGCAGAAGCGAGCCUAACUGCGAGACUGACGGGUCGAGCAGUAACGAAAGUUGGAGUUAGUGAUCCGGUGGUAUGUGAGUGGAAAUGCCAUCGCUCAACGGAUAAAAGUUACCCUGGGGAUAACAGGCUGAUCUCCCCCAAGAGUCCACAUCGACGGGGAGGUUUGGCACCUCGAUGUCGGCUCAUCGCAUCCUGGGGCUGUAUUCGGUCCCAAGGGUUUGGCUGUUCGCCAAUUAAAGCGGUACGCGAGCUGGGUUCAGAACGUCGUGAGACAGUUCGGUCCCUAUCUGUCGUGGGCGCAGGAUAUUUGAUGGGAGCUGUUCCUAGUACGAGAGGGCCGGAGCGGACGUACCUCUGGCGCACCAGUUGUUCUGCCAAGGGCAUAGCUGGGCAACUAUGUACGGAUCGGAUAAACGCUGAAAGCAUCUAAGCGUGAAGCCGACCCAAAGAUAAGAUAUCCCAUUGUUUCAAACAAGUAAGACCCCUUGAAGACUACAAGGUUGAUAGGCAUGAUGUGUAAGUGGAGUGAUCCAUUCAGCAAGCAUGUACUAAUAGGUCGAGGGCUCGACC
rnacentral:rRNA from 1 species